ACAAAAGCGGAGGGGGAAAGGCUGGGGCCAGCAUCUGGGGGGACGGGGCCAGCAAGGCCGAACCUUUGGGUGCGGGGAGAGAAGCGAACAAGCCACCUGAAGUGGGCCCAGUUGUAGGGACCGCCGCCGUCUCCUCCUCCUCCUCCGGCUCCAGCUCAGCCUCAUCCGGCUCACUUUCAUCGCUGCUGGCCUCCUAGUCCCUGGCAACUACACACAGCUAAUGGCCGCCGAGUCACUCCGCCUCUUCUCGCCUCACCAAUAUAGGAACUACAACUCCCAGAAGACACUUUGGCCACAGCCCCAUUCUCCGCCAGAGAGAGCUCAGCGCAAGAUGGGGAGACCAGGAAAGGAGACAAAAGUAAUGACAUCCUGGAAGCUGGAAAGCACCAGUGGUAACUGACUUGGCAGAUCCAAGAAAGCUGAGAACCAAGCUGGCCUUGGGGGAUGGUGAGAAUCAAUUUGAUCUAGACUGCAGAAGCCUCAAAGAACUCAAGAGUGAUCAUUGGCUGCCAGCCCUUUACCCUCCAGGCAGGAUACUGGAAAAAUCUAUUCAACUCAAGAGGAAAGAUCCAUGGAGACUGACAUCAGAGAGAGC